CUACCUCUAGAGGUUCCAAGGUUCCUAUCCUAGGAUAAAUCACCUAAGAUAAACCUCUUAGAUUCUUAAGAAAAAACGUCCAGAAUAAACUUCCUAGGUUUUAAGAUCCAUAGGAUCUUUAGAUUUUAGGACAAACCCCCCAAGAUUCUAAGGUUCCUAAAAUACUAGGAUUCUAGGACAAAACACCUAGGAUAAACUUCCUAAAUUCAAAGGACAAACUACUUAGGAUAAACCUCCUAACUUCUAAGGUUCCCAUAAUCCUAGGAUCCUAGAAAAAACAACAUUUGAUUAAAACACUUCCCCCUUUAAUCCAAAGACAAGGUUGCAUGCCCAUAUGUCACUCAACAUAAGUAUAAGAAGAUAAGUGCCACCAAGUAUCACAAAAACAACGACACUUGUCAUCAAAAUAGUUAGGACUAAUUUAAAUCAAUUUUACUUAUAAAUAUGCAUUCUAUUCUCUCUUAAAGGUAAGAAAAAAAUAACUCAAGAGGGGAAGUGCUGAUUUUCUCUCUAUAGAAUUUCUCUCUCUAAAUUUAUAUUUCUCAAAAUUCAGUGACUGAUAUGAUUGUUGGAGGGUUUACACUAGUAAAACCACCCCUUUGGUCGUUUUCUUAUAUUUGUAGAACAUUAUUUGACAAAGUCAUCUUCAUUCCCUAAGGAAGUGAAAUCCUAGGAGAAAAUUCAUAGGCCUAUUAAGAUUAGCCCAAAUGAGAAACUUGUCAUCUAAUCUAAAAAAAAGGAAGCCCAGUCCUACAAAGAUCAUCGUGGAUUGAAAUUACGACAUAAUAAGUUACGAUAAAAUUUGCACUAACAAUUCUUAUAAUAGUAAUAACCUUUUUUUUUGGUUCGCAAAUAUAUGGUUAUACUUCUCAAGUUAUUACUAAUAAAUAUAUCCUAAAUUUUAGGUUUUAACUUAUAAGACACAAUGUAACAAAAGUUUUGAGAAAUAUAUAAAAAAAAAAUACUAAUGAAACAUUUAUGACCAACGAAAAUGUUGUCCUAAUUUGUAUACAACAUUACAGUUGCAAGGCAGUAUUUUUCUUAAACAUUUCGAGUCUCGAUACCUUGUAUUCUUACAUGUUUUAAGUUUGUUAUGUAAAAAUUGAGUAUAACUAUUUGAUUAUUUAAUCUGUCAUGUUAGUCGUUAGACUCAAGUUUAUUUAGCGUAUAUACUAAGGGUAAUUCUUCAUCUUUGUUGCAUAAUCACAAAAAUGUAAAACUAUAUGAGGGNNN
rnacentral:lncRNA from 1 species